AAUCAUAUAUGUAUUCAAAUUAUUGCACAUUAUUUUUUUUUGCUAGAAUUUCUUUACCGUGUACUAAUGAAGGUUUACAAUCCCUGAUAUUGAAAAUAAUGCAAUAGCAAAGGUUAGUUCUUAUUCAAGUAAACGUUAACUGCGUGCAAUUUAUUGCAUUUUCGUGUUUUUAACUUUUCUUAAGUAUUUUUACGUUGGAGCAAUUUUACUUUUUAAACUUUGUUACAUAAAGUGGAAAAUGUAGUUACUUGUGUAAAGUCUUCUAUCUUAUCACUUGAACACUGAAGUUAUAUUUUGGUUGCAUGGAAUUCUGUGACUUAACCAUCACAUCGCCUGUAGCAGCGUGGGGAGGAGGGAGGGGAGGGGCAGGAUGAGGAGGGGAGGGGAGGUGGGGAAGGGCAGGGUGUGGGUGACGGCGGCUCCCUGCAACCCGUCGCGGCCAGGCAGUAAAAAAUGAAGACUUCCUCCCACAAUUACCUUGGAAAACUGGUGGUGAAGGAUGUGUCUUUUUACCGCACCUCGCAGACCCCGCCGCCCCGUAUGAUCUCAUUAGCAUAAUUAUUCCGUGGGGCUCGGUAGUUAAAUGUCGUGUCCUUUUGAGGAAUAAAAAUGCUUAACGUUGCCUUUGGUGACAACAAAGGUCGCGUGACGGAGAGGAAAGGCGAGGGUCGGCUGCUCCCCAUUGUGUUACUUUCGCAGGCUGCCUCUUAAUAACCCAACCCCUCCGCGAGGCGCGUCCGGGAAGGCCGGGGCGGUGAGGAGACGGUCGCCUUGUGGUGGGGCGCUCAGGAAAUACCGUCUUGCAGGCUUCAGGGGCUUCAUACUGGCGGCACUCCGUCAGGCGUCCAGCAGGAGUGGGUGGGACUUGAGUGAGGUUACAGUGGUAGAUGUUAAGUGUUAGAAAAAAAAAAAAACUGCCAUAGAAAAAAAGGAGACGAUAUCAAGAAAAUGAGAAGAUGAGAAAUACAGUAUGAGAAAUACAGUAUAAAAAUCAGAAUAAUACAGCAAGAGGAGGGCAACAUAUACUGCUACAAAGGUAACAAAAUAUAAGAAGUGAAAGAAGGCGCUGCGCAAGGAUGAGACCAGGAAGCCAAAAUAAAGGAAGAGAAGGAUGGGAAAGGGAAGUGCCAAGGGAAGGGCGUGCGGAUGCAAAUAAAUAAAAGUGAGGUGGUGUGCCAGGGUUCUCAGAAAGGCUUUCUCUUGCCAUAUUACGUAGCCCUCCCUUCACAACCCAAUUGGCCCUUCGUAAUUGGUGAUGGAAAAUGUAUAAGUGUCAGUAUCUUCCGCAUGGAAAUGCCAUUUGCCAAUAUUGUAUUUGUGAUCGGUGAAGUUAAAGAAAAUAUAGUUGUGUUCUACUUUUCUCUUU